AACGAACGCUGGCGGCAGGCCUAACACAUGCAAGUCGAGCGCCCCGCAAGGGGAGCGGCGGACGGGUGAGUAACGCGUGGGAACGUGCCUCUUGCUACGGAAUAGCCUCGGGAAACUGGGAGUAAUACCGUAUGUGCCCUACGGGGGAAAGAUUUAUCGGCAAGAGAUCGGCCCGCGUUGGAUUAGGUAGUUGGUGGGGUAAUGGCCUACCAAGCCGACGAUCCAUAGCUGGUUUGAGAGGAUGAUCAGCCACACUGGGACUGAGACACGGCCCAGACUCCUACGGGAGGCAGCAGUGGGGAAUCUUAGACAAUGGGCGCAAGCCUGAUCUAGCCAUGCCGCGUGAGCGAUGAAGGCCUUAGGGUUGUAAAGCUCUUUCAGUGGGGAAGAUAAUGACUGUACCCACAGAAGAAGCCCCGGCUAACUCCGUGCCAGCAGCCGCGGUAAU
rnacentral:rRNA from 1 species